rnacentral:rRNA from 1 species
GACAGAGGUGCCAAGCGUUAGGCGGAAUCACUGGGCUUAAAGCGUGUGUAGGCGGAAUUGUAAGUACCUUGUGAAAUCCCAUGGCUCAACCAUGGAACUGCUCGGUAUACUGCUUUUCUUGAGCCACUUAGGGGCUACCGGAACAAAUGGUGGAGCGGUGAAAUGCGUAGAUAUCAGGAAGAACACCGAUGGCGAAGGCAGUUCUCUGGGACGGUACUGACGCUGAGACGCGAAAGCGUGGGGAGCGAACAGG